GACGAACGCUGGCGGCGUGCUUAACACAUGCAAGUCGAACGGAAAGGCCCUGCUUUUGUGGGGUGCUCGAGUGGCGAACGGGUGAGUAACACGUGAGUAACCUGCCCUUGACUUUGGGAUAACUUCAGGAAACUGGGGCUAAUACCGGAUAGGAGCUCCUGCUGCAUGGUGGGGGUUGGAAAGUUUCGGCGGUUGGGGAUGGACUCGCGGCUUAUCAGCUUGUUGGUGGGGUAGUGGCUUACCAAGGCUUUGACGGGUAGCCGGCCUGAGAGGGUGACCGGCCACAUUGGGACUGAGAUACGGCUCAGACUCCUACGGGAGGCAGCAGUGGGGAAUAUUGCACAAUGGGCGGAAGCCUGAUGCAGCAACGCCGCGUGCGGGAUGACGGCCUUCGGGUUGUAACCCGCUUUCGCCGGUGACGAAGCGUGAGUGACGGUAAUGGGUAAAGAAGCACCGGCUAACUACGUG
rnacentral:rRNA from 1 species